GUCAAUGUGAGAACACCAGGACUGGACAAAUAGGAGGAGACCAAAGAGCCAAAGCACCUGAAACAACACUGAUCACACUAACUACAACAAGGAGUUCUGGCUGGGUUCCUAGCCGCAGUCAAGACUGCUCCAGGCAAGAUCUUAUCCUGCAAGGAUCAAGAGACACUAUGUGCUCCUGUGUGUGUGUGUAUCCUUGCCAGGUCUGUACCCAGACAUAAUCAUCAAAGGAGACAUCUGUGUGACUGACUUUUUUUUCCAGCCUGUCUUAAAAGAUCGUCCCUCAGACAGCCCUGAUCCUGGACCAACCGAGCUCCAGCACCUUGAGAGCCGCCCUGGUCUUCACCUUUCACGCUGACCUCGGAUCGGCGCGCUCAAAGCCCAGUGCUGCUCCAGGAGCCAGCAAAGAGGCCCAGGGAGAGCUGACCCCCUGGCCCAGCAGAUGGAGCUCAGGCUGGGGGAGAAAGUCACACCGACACCCCUGGCACUCCCCGAGAACCAGAAUAAGAGACGGCAGCCAAGACGCACCUCACACAUAUACACACACACACAGCAAAACAACUAACGCCACCUACUCAAACACAUACAGACACGCACGCAGAAUCCCACACAACCUGGCACGACCAUAAAGAGUGUGAGAGACACCUACAGACAUCCCACAACACCUUAGCAACAAAGAUAACAUUUUUUUGUACUUUUUGACUCACCAUGCCU